GCCCGUUGGUCAAGCGGUUAAGACACCGCCCUUUCACGGCGGUAACACGGGUUCGAAUCCCGUACGGGUCAUCCA
rnacentral:tRNA from 1 species